GAUGAACGCUAGCGGGAGGCCUAACACAUGCAAGCCGAGCGGUAGAUUACUUUCGGGUGAUUGAGAGCGGCGUACGGGUGCGGAACACGUGUGCAACCUGCCUUUAUCAGGGGGAUAGCCUUUCGAAAGGAAGAUUAAUACCCCAUAAUAUAUUAUUCGGCAUCGGGUGAUAUUGAAAACUACGGUGGAUAGAGAUGGGCACGCGCAAGAUUAGCUAGUUGGUGAGGUAACGGCUCACCAAGGCGACGAUCUUUAGGGGGCCUGAGAGGGUGAUCCCCCACACUGGUACUGAGACACGGACCAGACUCCUACGGGAGGCAGCAGUGAGGAAUAUUGGACAAUGGGUGGAAGCCUGAUCCAGCCAUCCCGCGUGCAGGAAGACGGCCCUAUGGGUUGUAAACUGCUUUUAUCUGGGGAUAAACCUACUUACGUGUAAGUAGCUGAAGGUACCAGAAGAAUAAGCACCGGCUAACUCCGUG
rnacentral:rRNA from 1 species